rnacentral:tRNA from 4 species
AGCUCUGUGGUGUAGUGGCCAAGCAUAGUGGGCUCUGGACCCGCCGACGGCAGUUCGAAUCUGCCCAGAGCUA